CCUACGGGGGGCAGCAGUGAGGAAUAUUGGUCAAUGGGCGCUAGCCUGAACCAGCCAAGUAGCGUGAAGGAUGACUGCCCUAUGGGUUGUAACCUUCUUUUAUAUGGGAAUAAAGUGCAUUAUGUAUACUUCUUUGCUUUUCCCUUAUGAAUAAGAAUCGGCUAACUCCGUGCCAGCAGCCGCGGUAAUACGGAGGAUCCGAGCGUUAUCCGGAUUUAUUGGGUUGAAGGGGAGCGUAGGCGGGUUGUUAAGUCAGUUGUGAAAGUUUGCGGCUCAACCGUAAAAUUGCAGUUGAUACUGGCAGCCUUGAGUACAGUAGAGGUAGGCGGAAUUCGUGGUGUAGCGGUGAAAUGCUUAGAUAUCACGAAGAACUCCGAUUGCGAAGGCAGCCUGCUGGACUGUAACUGACGCUGAUGCUCGAAAGUGUGGGUAUCAAACAGGAUUAGAUACCCUGGUAGUC
rnacentral:rRNA from 1 species